AUUGAACGCUGGCGGCAUGCUUUACACAUGCAAGUCGAACGGUAACAGGUUAAGCUGACGAGUGGCGAACGGGUGAGUAAUGCAUCGGAACGUGCCCGGUCGUGGGGGAUAACGCAGCGAAAGCUGCGCUAAUACCGCAUACGAUCUGAGGAUGAAAGCGGGGGACCGUAAGGCCUCGCGCGAUCGGAGCGGCCGAUGUCAGAUUAGGUAGUUGGUGGGGUAAAGGCUCACCAAGCCGACGAUCUGUAGCUGGUCUGAGAGGACGACCAGCCACGCUGGGACUGAGCCACGGCCCAGGCUCCUACGGGAGGCAGCAGUGGGGAAUUUUGGACAAUGGGCGCAAGCCUGAUCCAGCAAUGCCGCGUGCAGGAAGAAGGCCUUCGGGUUGUAAACUGCUUUUGUACGGAGCGAAAAGGCCCUCUCUAAUACAGGGGGCUCAUGACGGUACCGUAAGAAUAAGCACCGGCUAACUACGUGCCAGCCGCCGCUGUAAUAC
rnacentral:rRNA from 1 species